rnacentral:rRNA from 1 species
GAUGAACGCUAGCGGCAGGCCUAACACAUGCAAGUCGAACGGUAACAUGAGUAGCAAUACUUGAUGACGAGUGGCGCACGGGUGGCGUAACGCGUAUGCAACUUACCUCUAACUGGAGAAUAGCCUUCCGAAAGGAAGAAUAAUACUCCAUAAUAUUACGAUGUGGCAUCACAUUGUUCUUAAAGCUUCGGCGGUUAGAGAUGGGCAUGCGUCUGAUUAGCUUGUUGGUGAGGUAACGGCUCACCAAGGCAACGAUCAGUAGGGGGCCUGAGAGGGUUAUCCCCCACACUGGUACUGAGACACGGACCAGACUCCUACGGGAGGCAGCAGUGAGGAAUAUUGGUCAAUGGACGAAAGUCUGAACCAGCCAUGCCGCGUGCAGGAUGAAUGCCCUAUGGGUUGUAAACUGCUUUUAUAUAGGAAUAAACCCCUCUACGUGUAAAGGGCUGAAGGUACUAUAAGAAUAAGGACCGGCUAACUCCGUGCCAG